rnacentral:misc_RNA from 1 species
AACGCACAUUGCGCUCGAGGCUUCGGCCAAGAGCAUGUCUGCCUCAGCGUCGUUUUUGUCCAAUCCAAAGUUUGGACGUUGAACAUCGUGCCUUCAGCCUGUUUCAGGGGUGUCGCAGCAUCACUGGCAGGUUGGCAUGGAUCUGACUUUCUCAGAGCUAGGAGCUGCUCUGCACUCCGUGUACUGAGUAGGUUGAAGAGCAGAAGCGGAGCAGGACAUGUCCCAAGCAAACAGGGGUCCACUGCUGGAUAGGCAAUAUCAAUUUGCACGAUGCAGUGCGUUCCUUUGGGACGUCUUUUGGACAACAAAAGAGUCUUGCUCCGACAGCAGGAAUGAGACAAAGCGUGUAGAAGGGCGUGCGAUCAUCGCCAGCUCAGCUACACCUUUCCGUCUCACCCCCCCUCCAAUUUCGACCUGAGCUCAGGCAAGAGCACCCGCUGAACUUAA